UGUCUCGUGGGGUAAUGGUUUACCCGCCUUAACUGAAGCAUAUCUAUCUGCCUUGGAAUACACAGGAGAUGCUGGUUCGAUUCCAGCCGGGACCA